rnacentral:rRNA from 1 species
GAGCAAUCUGUGUGACUGCGUACCUUUUGUAUAAUGGGUCAGCGACUUAUAUUCUGUAGCAAGGUUAACCGAAUAGGGGAGCCGAAGGGAAACCGAGUCUUAACUGGGCGUUAAGUUGCAGGGUAUAGACCCGAAACCCGGUGAUCUAGCCAUGGGCAGGUUGAAGGUUGGGUAACACUAACUGGAGGACCGAACCGACUAAUGUUGAAAAAUUAGCGGAUGACUUGUGGCUGGGGGUGAAAGGCCAAUCAAACCGGGAGAUAGCUGGUUCUCCCCGAAAGCUAUUUAGGUAGCGCCUCGUGAAUUCAUCUCCGGGGGUAGAGCACUGUUUCGGCAAGGGGGUCAUCCCGACUUACCAACCCGAUGCAAACUGCGAAUACCGGAGAAUGUUAUCACGGGAGACACACGGCGGGUGCUAACGUCCGUCGUGAAGAGGGAAACAACCCAGACCGCCAGCUAAGGUCCCAAAGUCAUGGUUAAGUGGGAAACGAUGUGGGAAGGCCCAGACAGCCAGGAUGUUGGCUUAGAAGCAGCCAUCAUUUAAAGAAAGCGUAAUAGCUCACUGGUCGAGUCGGCCUGCGCGGAAGAUGUAACGGGGCUAAACCAUGCACCGAAGCUGCGGCAGCGACGCUGAUGCGUUGUUGGGUAGGGGAGCGUUCUGUAAGCCUGUGAAGGUGUGCUGUGAGGCAUGCUGGAGGUAUCAGAAGUGCGAAUGCUGACAUAAGUAACGAUAAAGCGGGUGAAAAGCCCGCUCGCCGGAAGACCAAGGGUUCCUGUCCAACGUUAAUCGGGGCAGGGUGAGUCGACCCCUAAGGCGAGGCCGAAAGGCGUAGUCGAUGGGAAACAGGUUAAUAUUCCUGUACUUGGUGUUACUGCGAAGGGGGGACGGAGAAGGCUAUGUUGGCCGGGCGACGGUUGUCCCGGUUUAAGCGUGUAGGCUGGUUUUCCAGGCAAAUCCGGAAAACUAAGGCUGAGGCGUGAUGACGAGGCACUACGGUGCUGAAGCAACAAAUGCCCUGCUUCCAGGAAAAGCCUCUAAGCAUCAGGUAACAUCAAAUCGUACCCCAAACCGACACAGGUGGUCAGGUAGAGAAUACCAAGGCGCUUGAGAGAACUCGGGUGAAGGAACUAGGCAAAAUGGUGCCGUAACUUCGGGAGAAGGCACGCUGAUAUGUAGGUG